GUUCUAACAUUGUCCUCUUUCUUCUUCAAAUGUUUGUUGCUUUGGCUUUGUCUCCCAGUGUACUUGACAAGUCUACGAAGAGGAAUUCAAAUGAAAAGCUGUGGGUUUUCUGAAUGAUGCUGUCUUUUCUAGAGUGGAUUGUCUCCCAGGAAGGUGAAUGUUGAACACACAAGGAGAACACUGUGACCCCUCUCUGCAGUUGUCACUCUGGGCUGUCCUUACUCUGCAACAAACCAGUUUUUCAGUCUCCAUGGACACCCAGCUGAGCAACAAUAGUUAGAUACGUAAAACCCUCUAUCUGAAUUGAAAUCUGAUGAUGACCUUGGGAUUAUGAUAACAAAUGGAUCCUUUGAGGGACUGGUGACACGGAGAUUGCAAGAGUAUCCAGGACAGGACAGUACCAUACUAAUGGCCCUUCUGCUCUGUCAGUUUCUUUUUGG
rnacentral:lncRNA from 1 species